UACGGAGGGAGCUAGCGUUGUUCGGAAUUACUGGGCGUAAAGAGCGCGUAGGCGGCUCGUUAGGUGUGAAGUGAAAUCUCCAGGGCUCAACCCGGAAACUGCUUUACAUACUGGCGAGCUGGAGUGAUGCAGAGGUUUGUGGAAUUCCUGGUGUAACGGUGAAAUGUGUUGAUAUCAGGAGGAACACCCAUGGCGAAGGCAGCAAACUGGGCAUCAACUGACGCUGAGGCGCGAAAGCGUGGGUAGCAAACAGG
rnacentral:rRNA from 1 species